AUCUUGUAUAAUGGAGAUCCAUCUCAAAAAGGGGUUAGUCAAAUUAACAGGGGCAACAUUAUUUAGCACUAUAUCAGCUUGGUAUUGUCUAUGACUAGCACAGAUUUCUUUAUAAAGCAUAUUCAGUUGCCAUUCUGUAAUAAGCCCUAGCUGCCUAUGAGUUUUGUGGUAGGGUUUAAGGGAUUGGUACAUACCUAUGAAUUUAAAGAAUAAUAAUACAGCACAUGGUAUCACAUGAAGUCAUUUCCUAGAAUAUACAAGCCUUUAGUGGGGCUGAGGCCUAAAAAGAGGAUUUGCCCUCAAAAGUGGUUCAUAUGAAAAUUAAAGAGAAGUUUUAUUAUUGUUAUUACAUCCUGUAAGAAUCUCUGUAAUCCAUAAUAGUGCAAAAUACAUCUUGUGGGGCAAACUGCCCUCAGUUACUCUUGUGUAACCCCAUAAAAAUUAGUGGAAUUGCCAUGACAUGAGGAUGGAAUUCAGCUGGAGGUGGUUUGAUAACACACACAGCUGUGCGGAUGGCUGUGUAACUUUAUUUGGGCAUGUAAAUGUAACAGUGCUCCCAGAGUUGAUGAGCACAUGAAAGGGGGUUGCUGUCUUUGUUCUUCCUGUACUGUUCCACAAAUGGAAGCUGAGCAAAGAGCUGUUUCUAGAUGGCUGGAAUAAAUUUAUUCCUUUGUUGUUUUUUUCCCCUUUAAUAGUGUCUAUUUUUUCCUCUUCUGCUUGUUUUUCUCUUGUAGGAGUCAGAGAAAGAGCAACUGGCUUAAGAAGCAAGAGGACCCUUUAUCAUCCAGCAAGCAAAAUUGAUGAUCCUCAGCAUAUACUGGCUAGCACACACAAUCAAGGAGGCUAUUACAAAUCUUGUAACAACCUUUACCAUCUGCAAAAACUAACAUUUUUUAACAAUAUGUUGACUCAAAGCAGACAAGUUUGAUCUUAAUCCAGCAAUCAUUUUUUCCUCGCAUUUUUUUAUGCUUACCUUAACAUGCAGGUAUACAUUUUUUCUUUUAAAAUUUAUUUUUAAUUACUGCUCAAGCAUUUAUUAAUGUAAGGUAGCCUCCAUAAUAGUAUUAUGUACAGAUGUUCAGUUUAAAUACACAUUUUAUUCAUCAUUCUAGUGCAACAAAUUGCUAUAUGCUAUUAUAAUGAACAUGAUAAUGAACAUUUAUCCUGGGCUCAUGGGAGUUCGCCAUAGCAAGAUUAGAACAUAUAUAAAAAUGUAUCUUUCCCUCCCACUGUGGGUCAUUCUAGAGACACAACAGAAUCCACUUAACCCUCUCCAAGUUAUAAUGACCUCCAGAUGGAGCAUUUAAGGCAAAAACUGCAAAGCUGUAUAAUACCAUAUACAUUAUGCUGCCUUUCCAUUCUGGCCUCUGUAGAAAUAAUUUCAGAUUCCUAAGCUCAAAUGCCGUAACCACUCAGAAUUUAAUUUUGUUAAACUAUAAAUUUACCAUUUAAGAUUUAUAGCCUUCCAGUUGCAAUGCCAAAGUCUGCCUUUGCUUCUGCUUAUACAGAUUUAUUAGCAGUACGCAGCAGUAUUAAGUACCAAAUCACACCCAUGCCUAAAAAUAAGAAGUGCACAAAUGGUUGGGUUUUGCAGUAACAGCCUCAUGUUGCCAGGUGCUGAAGCUCAGACUUAACCAGUGACUUUAAUGGGAGCCGACUGUGUUCGGCAUCUCAUAGGAUCAAGUACUAUGCAUAAAUAGAAGCCAAAAUAGCUUGUGUAUACUUUACUGAUAUUUUUGGCAGUUACUACUGGGAUCAUAAAGGGGUUUGUACUGGAACCUCAACAAGUUUAGGAAAAGAAAUGUUGCCUUUCCUUAAAGCUUUUACUAAUACACCUGCAAGAUGUUUUUACGAACAGCAAAUGAUCUGGAAAACAGAAAACUAUGAAAUCUAAUCCUGUAAAAAUAUCUGGUUUAAAAAAGAAAACCACACUCACAGAAGUUUUUAACUCUGUCAAGUUAAGAUUUUCAGUUUCCUUAUGUACGUUAUGCUCCAGUUCUUGACUGCAUGUUUCUUUCCCUGUCAGACCCCUUGUAAUGGUAAAUGUGCAAUACAGAUAAUGCUUUCCAGAUGAGUAGCUGUUUGAUGUUUAUUUUUAGCUACACAACUCAACUCAUUGUCCCUUUUCUGAUUUACUGAAAAUCUUUAAAAUCACACAGAAUUAGUGAGUCUGCAGCCACUUCUGUGAGUUAGCAAGGGUGUUCACAUUUUUUCUCCUUUAUUUUUGUUUCUAUUAGAGAAAGUGAAUGAAGGUAGAAAACAGAUGUUAAAGAUUCAUAAAAAUUAAGUAACAGCUGGUGGUCUAUAGGCUAGGGCUGAACAUAAAUACCACAACAUAAUUUAAAUGAAGCUAUUAUAUAAUAAUAUAAUUCACAACCUAGCUGUCAUAUAGAGCUUAUAGUAAAUGCCUAGUUUCUUUAAAAAAUCUUGUUAUUUCCACAGGGCCCUUUCCUUGCUUGCAGGCUAUUUGAGUCCUUUGCAGCAGUCCAUAAUGUUCAGCAUGUCCAGUGAUUUACAAUCGCUUCAGACUAUCCACUAGCGAUUCUAAAGCUUUUCAAUAAAAGUGUGUUUUGGGGGAUAUUUUUGGAACCU
rnacentral:lncRNA from 1 species